GACGAACGCUGGCGGCGUGCUUAACACAUGCAAGUCGAACGGAAAGGCCCUUCGGGGUCCUCGAGUGGCGAACGGGUGAGUAACACGUGGGUGAUCUGCCCUGCACUUUGGUAUAAGCCUGGGAAACUGGGUCUAAUACCGAAUAGGACCACGCGCUUCAUGGUGUGUGGUGGAAAGCUUUUGCGGUGUGGGAUGGGCCCGCGGCCUAUCAGCUUGUUGGUGGGGUAAUGGCCUACCAAGGCGAAGACGGGUAGCCGGCCUGAGAGGGUGACCGGCCACACUGGGACUGAGAUACGGCCCAGACUCCUACGGGAGGCAGCAGUGGGGAAUAUUGCACAAUGGGCGCAAGCCUGAUGCAGCGACGCCGCGUGAGGGAUGACGGCCUUCGGGUUGUAAACCUCUUUCAAUAGGGACGAAGCGCAAGUGACGGUACCUAUAGAAGAAGCACCGGCCAACUACGUG
rnacentral:rRNA from 1 species